UCCAGACUCCUACGGGAGGCAGCAGUGGGGGAUAUUGCACAAUGGGGGGAACCCUGAUGCAGCGACGCCGCGUGGGUGAAGGAGCGUUUCGGCGCGUAAGGCCCUGUCGGCAGGGAAGAAGGAGGACGGUACCUGACUAAGAAGCCCCGGCUAACUACGUGCCAGCAGCCGCGGUAAUACGUAGGGGGCAAGCGUUAUCCGGAUUUACUGGGUGUAAAGGGGGCGCAGACGGCAGCGCAAGCCAGGAGUGAAAGCCCGGGGCCCAACCCCGGGACUGCUCUUGGAACUGCGCGGCUGGAGUGCAGGAGGGGCAGGCGGAAUUCCUGGUGUAGCGGUGAAAUGCGUAGAUAUCAGGAGGAACACCGGUGGCGAAGGCGGCCUGCUGGACUGCGACUGACGUUGAGGCCCGAAAGCGUGGGGAGCAAACAGGAUUAGAUACCCCUGUA
rnacentral:rRNA from 1 species